AAAACUUUCAACAACGGAUCUCUUGGUUCUGGCAUCGAUGAAGAACGCAGCGAAAUGCGAUAAGUAAUGUGAAUUGCAGAAUUCAGUGAAUCAUCGAAUCUUUGAACGCACAUUGCGCCCCUUGGUAUUCCGGGGGGCAUGCCUGUUCGAGCGUCAUUAC
rnacentral:rRNA from 7 species